rnacentral:rRNA from 1 species
UAAAGUUGUUGCGGUUAAAAAGCUCGUAGUCGGAGGUGUGUCUCGGACGGUUGGUUCGCUGCUUGUCGGUGCUUAACUGGCCGGUCCGGACGUCCUGCCGGUGGGGAUGUCAAAAGUCUCCGUUAUCCUUCUUUGGUGCUCUUCACCGAGUGCCUUGGUGGGCCGGCACGUUUACUUUGAACAAAUUAGAGUGCUCAAAGCAGGCCGUUGGUCGCCUGAAUACUGUGUGCAUGGAAUAAUGGAAUAGGACCUCGGUUCCAUUUUGUUGGUUUUCAGAACUCGAGGUAAUGAUUAAUAGGGACGGACGGGGGCAUUCGUAUUGCGACGUUAGAGGUGAAAUUCUUGGAUCGUCGCAAGACGAACCGAUGCGAAAGCAUUUGCCAAGAACGUUUUCGUUGAUCAAGAACGAAAGUUAGAGGUUCGAAGGCGAUCAGAUACCGCCCUAGUUCUAACCAUAAACGAUGCCAGCUAGCCAUCCGCCGAAGUUCCUUCUAUGACUCGGCGGGCAGCUUCCGGGAAACCAAAGCUCUUGGGUUCCGGGGGAAGUAUGUUGCAAGCU